rnacentral:tRNA from 1 species
GACCACAUGGCUGAAUGGAUAAGGCGUCUGACUUGGAUGAGAAGAUUGAGGGUUCGAGUCCCUUUGUGGUUG